rnacentral:rRNA from 2 species
AAUUGUUGAGUUUACUCAACAAUUAGCGGCGGACGGGUGAGUAACACGUGGGCAACCUGCCUAUAAGACUGGGAUAACUUCGGGAAACCGGAGCUAAUACCGGAUAUGUUCUUCUCUCGCAUGAGAGAAGAUGGAAAGACGGUCUCGGCUGUCACUUAUAGAUGGGCCCGCGGCGCAUUAGCUAGUUGGUGAGGUAAUGGCUCACCAAGGCAACGAUGCGUAGCCGACCUGAGAGGGUGAUCGGCCACACUGGGACUGAGACACGGCCCAGACUCCUACGGGAGGCAGCAGUAGGGAAUCUUCCGCAAUGGACGAAAGUCUGACGGAGCAACGCCGCGUGAACGAUGAAGGCUUUCGGGUCGUAAAGUUCUGUUGUUAGGGAAGAACAAGUACCAGAGUAACUGCUGGUACCUUGACGGUACCUAACCAGAAAGCCACGGCUAACUACGUGCCAGCAGCCGCGGUAAUACGUAGGUGGCAAGCGUUAUCCGGAAUUAUUGGGCGUAAAGCGCGCGCAGGUGGUUCCUUAAGUCUGAUGUGAAAGCCCCCGGCUCAACCGGGGAGGGUCAUUGGAAACUGGGGAACUUGAGUGUAGAAGAGGAAAGUGGAAUUCCACGUGUAGCGGUGAAAUGCGUAGAGAUGUGGAGGAACACCAGUGGCGAAGGCGACUUUCUGGUCUAUAACUGACACUGAGGCGCGA